AGCACGAAAGUAAAGAAGGGCUGGAAGGUGUCGCGAUCCCCUCUCUCCUCUCCAAGGCAUCAGUUCCUGCAUCGACAAAGUGAGAAGGAGUAAGAGCAACUCACCCUUGUAAAUACAAAACACAGCAAUAUGUGGUGUGGAUGCUGUCAAGGAACCCAUUCUGCUGAGAGUAUUCAUCCUUCCCAACACUAUGCGGAGAAAUCAACAGCAGAAGAUUCUACUCAGAAGUUUGUGCAAAUUAGUCAUUCAGUGAAAAAACCUGGAGACUGGAAAUUAAUAAUCCAGAAAUUUGUAAAUGAAAAUGAUGUUGUAAUUUUCAGCAAUA